UGCAUAGUCAGAAAAGAACUACAACAUCAUUGAUUAGAAUGGAUCACUAUAAGCGAAUGAAGUUCGACAACUCAGAAACUUCAUUGGUUGACGUAGGAAAAGUUGAUACGGAUGCAAAUGACGAGAAUCAGAUGUCUAAAAAAGAGGUUAACUCCCAGAAACUUCAAGAGUCUGAAAU